AUGUCGUGUUGCAACAACCCCGAGCUGUCACGGUGCCAAGUCAUCCACAAUGUCGUUCAUGCUAUUAUUCUCCAUCAACAACAACAACAAAAACAACAACAACAACAACAACCGUCGAGCCAGGUCUUCUACCAGCAGCCUCAGCAACAAUAUCCAUCAGGCCAGGGUUCCUUCCAGCCAUCUCAGCAAAACCCACAGGCCCAUGGCUUUGUCCAACCUCAGCAACUGCCACAGUUUGAGGAAAUAAGGAACCUAGCGCUACAGACACUACCAGCAAUGUGCAAUGUCUACAUCCCUCCAUAUUGCUCGACCACCAUUGCGCCAUUUGGCAUCGUGAGUACUAACUGA
rnacentral:rRNA from 1 species